rnacentral:rRNA from 1 species
GAUAUCCUAAGAACCUUUUAGAGAUAAGAGGGUGCUAGCUUGCUAGAACUUAGAGACAGGUGCUGCACGGCUGUCGUCAGCUCGUGUCGUGAGAUGUUGGGUUAAGUCCCGCAACGAGCGCAACCCACGUAUUUAGUUGCUAACGGUUCGGCCGAGCACUCUAAAUAGACUGCCUUCGUAAGGAGGAGGAAGGUGUGGACGACGUCAAGUCAUCAUGGCCCUUAUGCCCAGGGCGACACACGUGCUACAAUGGCAUAUACAAUGAGACGCAAUACCGCGAGGUGGAGCAAAUCUAUAAAAUAUGUCCCAGUUCGGAUUGUUCUCUGCAACUCGAGAGCAUGAAGCCGGAAUCGCUAGUAAUCGUAGAUCAGCCAUGCUACGGUGAAUACGUUCCCGGGUCUUGUACUCACCGCCCGUCACACCAUGGGAGUUGAUUUCACUCGAAGCCGGAAUACUAAACUAGUUACCGUCCACAGUGGAAUCAGCGACUGGGGUGAAGUCGUAACAAGGUAACCGUAGGAGAACCUGCGGUUGGAUCACCUCCUUU